AAUAGAUUUCGGAGCAAUGUAUCCCUAGUGAAGUAGGUCAGGUCCUGACGGAAGCAGCCUUAAGCCUGGUAUACAUGUGCUCUUUUGUUUUGCCUU
rnacentral:SRP_RNA from 1 species